CGCUAUUGUGUCUACUCGAUGUUAUGCCGCGUUCAUGUGCUAGUCGUAACAAGGAAACUCGGACAUUUCGACUUGCUAACUGGUUGAACAUUUCCGAGUUUGCGACUUGCUCGAACUGGUUGUAGUUAUUCAUGAUACUGCAUUAGUUCCGACUAGAACGAGACGCGGAAUACCUCAAGAGUGGGCUACAGUGAUGAUGCGAUGCUGCGUAGGCUACGUGUGAGUGGGAUGCAAGUAGCUUGCCGCCGACAUUCUCGUUGCUGGGUGCACGCACUGUAGGCUACUGCGGUAAGGAUGCGUCUGCUGACUGGCUCGAAUAAGAUGAGCAAAGAGACUUACAGAAAAAUAUGAUUUUAUUUUUAAAGCAGCCUUUUGACUUCGAUGCAGGUAUAGGGGACCUUUUCCACCUUUAAAUGUAUGUAUAGUAGCCUAAAUAAACCCUCGUCGGUCGAUGCUCAUGGUGUCGUGUUCGUGGGAGACGCAUAAAAUGAUCCUACAGACAGACGCGAGUCAAAUACGACAAUUAUGAAAUGAAGGUUAACGUCAAGCAGACAACAUUCAACAGCAAUUAGAUGUCUGGCAACGUCUUGCUCGGAGAAUCUGAGUAUGAAAUGGUUGUUUAGGUAGACUGAAUUGGUUUACAUGCCUGACACCCAUUGAUAAAAGCUACGUAUCUGGAUGGAGAACACUGUUGACAGCACUGUCACUGAAUAUUACUCAGAAAUACACAGCGCGUCAUUACUUUGAGUGUCUAUUCUUCAUGCGUUGAAGCCUCCUUGUUAAGGUACAUAGACGUUUGAAGAUUGCACAUUGGCUAGUAUUUUUUUGAUACUAUCUUAAAUAAUCUGAAGGCUGCAACAAUGAUCCAGCAGAACAAUAACAACAACUACCCAUGCCUGGAGAUGUCUGGCUCCCCCAGGGAGGUGCUGCAGAAGUGCCAAAAAAGCAAUCUUUCCUUCACCAGACGCUUGGAGCUUGGGGACAUGCCCUUAGUCAAGGGCCUUCGGGCCUGGGCUGCGUGCUCCAAGAACCGCAGGAGGGCAGCACCUCCCCCCAGGUCCCAGGGAACGUGCCCCAGGCCUGCAGAUGUCUACCCAGUGGGACAGUGGGGCAGGCUGGGUUAUGGUCUGGGGCUACCGCUGGACUCCAACUAUGCCUCCAACCCCAGACAGACAGGCCUGGGGGCACUGGUGACUGUGGCCACGUUGAAGGCCUCUGAGGGAGGUGGUCAGACUCAGACAAGCUGUCUGUUCCUCAAGACGGAGGGUGGAAGGUGCCUCUACUCUACAGGCAGUCCAAGGCCCUGCACUCAAAGUCUGGUCCCUCAGUCCCCCUCCACGCUGGUGGGCAGCUGGCUGAGGGAUAAAGUGGGAGGGGUCAGGGACUCCUCCAUGGUGGGGAAAAUGGGGGUGCAGGAUAUGGGAGGGGCCUUGGGGUCAUACCAGGUCAAAUCGAGGUCAGCCCAGAGGUGGAGAACAUCCUGCAAGCCUGUGGUUUCCAUCCAGGGGAGAACACUCCGGAACAGGGAGAAUGCUGGCGAGCAUACCCUGGAAGGGAGCCAGGAAAGCAGGGACAAAGGAGAGUUUCCCAAAGCUGGUCAGGACACUCUGAGUGGAAAACAAGACCGAGGGAGUACUAGAAGCCCCAAAUGCAGUCACGCUCAGACCCUGACCUGCACCCAGUGUCACGGGCGGAGAGGAGGGCAGGGGAGCAGCGGGGGUCAGAGGGGAGCUGCCUCUGUAUGUGAGCAGGAUCAGUCGAGCUGCGGUGUGGAGGGGAUUAAGGAGAAGGAGGAGGGGAAAGUGCAGGAUGGCACUGGUCUCACCCGGUCAAAGCCCUGUGACUCCUCCCUGCCUCCAGACAAUGCUGACCCAGAAAACUGCAGCAGUGACGUCAGGGACCGGGGAAAGCCAGACAGCCCACGCGCACAGGAGGGGCUGCAUCCUGAAACUUCUUUCAACAAGGAGCACUUCCAGGACAAACUAUGGGACAAAGACAUACAUACUGGAGGCAACGAUGUGGCCAGUGGUAUCAUGAGUCAUGUGGAAGACUUUGAUGGCAUGGUGGGUGCUGUGAUUGGGUUUGUGGAUCAUAUCAAGUCUGCAGAGUGUGAUUCAGAGAGGCUAAGGGGAACCGGGGAGAUAGCUGAGGGGAAGCUGCCCAACAGGUGGAUCGAUAGUCAAACUUCAGAGAGCCACUGCUGCUCUGAGAGAAGCUGCCUCAAAGACUGCUCCACUCAACCACCCAGACCAGUUGAGGGCAGCAUUUCUACUGCUCCUGAUGAGACUGGCUAUGGUCAGAUAAAUCAGGAAACUAAAUCAGAUAGUCAAUACAAUAAGCUUUGUGAGAAAUGUCAGCCAGAAGAAAAAGAUCCUGUGGCAGUGGAUAAAGAAGGUUUACAAGAAUCUGUACAUGGCCUCUGUGAGGAAGAGGAGAUAGAGGGGGAGGAGGGGAUCCAGUCAACAGCACCAGAAAUUAGGGAGCUCUGUGGGGAGCAUGGAGAGAUACUGCCUGAGGUCAGGAGCACAGAUGAUGAGGCCAGGCUGGUAAAGGGAGACAUCAUAUCCCAGAGAACUGAGCGAGGGCCUCACUGGGCAACGGAGGAACAUGAGUGCGAGGAGACAUGUAAUAUGGAAGCGAGGUGUUUUUCAGAUUUACCAGCUAACCUAACUGAAGAGGCCGUAGUAAGGUGGAGGAAGGCAGGGACUAGGCAGUUUAAUUCCCGUUUACAAGGCUCUGCUGUUGCUGGCCCUGCUACCUCUGUCACACACUCGCCACCUAAUCUGGCCUCCUCAAGAGCCAUGGCAACAGGCCUCCCUGCUCCGAAUGGGGGGCAGACAGACGCUGGAGGUGGGUUUCUGGUGCCUCUGCUACGGAGCCCAGGGGAGCAGGAGUGGAAGAGGGGCCCGGACGAGAGCAAGGUGGCCUCCAACAGGGGGUUCCUGGAUGGGGGGCCAGAGGGGGAGGAUGACUUUGGGCUUUUCAUGCAGGCAGAGGAGCAGCUGCCCUGGUACGACAGCUUCACUGCAUCACCCCUAGUGUCUUCUGGGAAAAGUGAGAGUGUUGGUAAGUCCCCAGCCUACGGCACCUCAGAAAUGUGACAGGGGCUCUUUUUAAAGACAUCCAGACACGACACACACAUAACAGAAACUUCUUAUGACUAUCACAUCCUCCAGUUAGAUUAUGCAAAUGUGACAGAGGCAGCAGUAAACAGCAGAACAUGAAAAGGCUUUUGAAAACCACAAAGACAAGUGCUCUGAUGUGAACAGUAUCGGUAACUCUCUUUGUUGUGGUUUGCACCAUGCAGCAGCCAGGGCAUGUAGACACGUUGCUCCCAAUGCCCGAGUGGCACAGCGGUCUAAGGCACUGCGUCUCAGUGCCAGAGGCAUCACUACAGACCCUGGUUUGAUUCCAGGCUGUGUCACAACCGGCCGUGAUUGAGAGUCACAUAGGGCGGCGCAUAAUUGGCCCAGCGUCGUCCGGGUUUGGCUGGGGUAGGCCGCCAUUGUAAAUAAGAAUUUGUUCUUAACUAACUUGCCUAGUUAAAUAAAGUUGAAAUAAAAUAAACAGUUAUUCAUUCUGGUCUGACCUGGAUUCUUGAGGGCCCUCUCCUCUCCCAAACUCAUGUGAAGGUAGUGCUAGUGCUCUCUGCUUUGGGAUGUAAGGCGUGUGAGCCUCAGGACAUGGGGUUCCAUGUUUAAAGAGACAGAGACCCAGGCAGGCAGCUCUGCCGUGAUUGGGAGAGACCAUGCAGGGUGACAUCCAUCCCAACGUUCCAUCCCCAUGUAACCUCAAACAUCAUGCAAAGACAAAACUCCCCAUCAUUAGUGUCUAAUGGUAAUAACACAGGUCUAAUCAUUGUUGUUGUCACGAUUAUGUCAUAUGUCAGUUAAAGCAAUGGCACUUGCAAUGGCAGUGACAUUUAACCAAGUGUAUAAAUCAAAGUUACAAAAAUAGUUGUCAGAUUAUAGAAGGUAAAAAAAAAAAACUUUUAUUUGUUGCCCAUUCAGGCCAUUUGAAUGAGGACAGCAUGCAAAAUAGCCGCCUAUUUGGAGCAUACACCAGGUCCCUGCACUUUGAGGUCGACUCAGUGCAAGGCAUACAGAUCAUAUAGAAUCAAUAGAAUCUAGCUAGUGUCGUAAUGAUUCAUGUCUGAUGCCUUCCAUGCUGCACUUGAAAACCAUUCCAUCACCAACGAGUCUACCCAUUGGACCUCAGGUUGGACAGACAGCUCAUUCCAACAAUCAGAGGAUGCCUGGACAGCCUUUCCAAAGGAUAUAGCGGGAGAAAGGCAAGACACAAGAGAACAGUGGUGGCCCACAAAUGCUGUAGAGGAGACAAGGGGCAGAUUCUCUGCCACGCAAAAUGUGAACAAAGUGUUUGUGGAGGCCUUCCCGUCUCUGUCUACUCCCCUGUAUGAUCGUGAUGCUGUUCCCACACUCAGCCAGCUCCUCAGAGGCGUCUUGGAUCAUGAAAGCUCUGCAGAAGAUCAUGGCUUACUCGAUGGGUUCCAUGACUUGAACAAGAUGUUUGGCUUGAAAUAUAAGAGGGCAAAUGCUGUUUCCCGUGAACGUCUUCUACAGUCGCUACAUUUGGGCCAGUGUAACACGGAAAAUAUGACUGGGCACCGAGCAGCCAACUACAGUCCCUCUCUUGGCCUCCCCUCGUCCAGUCAGCAUGCACAGGCCUGUGGGAAGAGACGUUUAUCGUAUGUCAACAAGAACAUCAUGGAAUAACCAAAAUGUCCACUUUCCCUGAACUUCAACAACACAUUUAGCCUUUUUCAUGCAUGUCCAUGCCAAACCACUAAUGGGACACAGUCUUCAUCUCCAUGGGGAGAAAUAACUAAACAUUUCACAAGAUUCAGAACUCGGAGGAUGCUCUCCUUGGGCCGACUGGACCACCUGACUAUAUGGUGAUCCUUAACAAUGCCCUGUUUUGCUUUGCCUUCGCUGGAGUUAGAUCACCGAUGCAUACCUGUGACAAAUUUGAUCAAAUUAAGCACUAAUUGUAAUUUUUGUCUCACAGAUAUUUUUAAAAUACAUGCAAAUGUUUAACAUUCUUAUAAAUCUUAUUCUUAUGGACUAUAGGAAAUGUUAAAGUAAUUAGUGUUUGCCCGGAGAAGUGGAUGUCUAUACCCCCCCCUUUGUUCACUCCCACCCUCUUUCUCACACACACACUGACAUGGACACAAACAACAAACAACAAACACACACUAUCCUCUCCCGUCACGUGAUCUGGCCCAAACGUGCCGGUGACAACUCUGGAGCAGAAUAUACUGUAGGUUUAGCAAACAUUGGAGCUCACAUGGAUCACAGCUCCUUUUCUUAUUAUCAUAGUAAAUAAUGACCAUGUUUUCUGAAAUGAUAUCCUUUAAAUUGGGGGUGUUUCUGGCUGUCAGAAUACAGUUGUUUUGUGCUGGCAAAGAGAAAAUGUGUUAUUUUACCAGUACACGUUUGUUUUAGAUCACAAAAAGCAGUCAAGUCCUAUUUAGAUUCUAUUUGUUUCUCUCUUGAUUGUUGUUUGUGGGUAACCCAGGGCAAAUCAGUAGGCCUACAGAAAAUGUAGUGAAUGUUUGUCAUUUGUACAUAAUAUGUAUUCUUCAAGAAAAAUGCAGAAUUGAGUUGUCCAAAUUGAUAAAACUACAUAGUCAACUUGUUAAUUGAUGUAAUAAAAUGAUACGUUGAUUACUGUUUUCCAUCCU
ensembl:lncRNA